rnacentral:tRNA from 1 species
UCCCUGGUGGCUCAGUUGGUAAAGAAUCUGCCUGCAAUGCAGGAGACCCAGGUUCAAUCCCUGGGUUGAGAA